rnacentral:lncRNA from 1 species
CAACCUGCUGGGGUUCCCUUCCACACUGCGGAAGCUUUGUUCUUUCGCUCUUUGCAAUAAAUCUUGCUACUGCUCACUCUUUGGGUCCACGCUGCUUUUAUGAGCUGUAACACUCACCGCGAAGAUCUGCAGCUUCACUCCUGAGCCCAGGGAGACCACGAGCCCACCGGGAGGAACGAACAACCCCAGACGCGCGGCCUUAAGAGCUGUAACACUCACCGCGAAGGUCUGCAGCUUCACUCCUGAGCCAGCGAGACCACGAACCCACCAGAAGGAAGAAACUCCGAACACAUCUGAACAUCAGAAGGGACAGACUCCAGACGCGCCACCUUAAGAGCUGUAACACUCACGGCGAGGGUCCGCGGCUUCAUUCUUGAAGUCAGUGAGACCAAGAACCCACCAAUUCUGGACACACAAUGAGAUAAUAACAUAAGUUUGAAAACUGCAAUUGGGCCUACUAAGGAACCAUGAUAGUGUUUGGUACAUAGAGGACACUGGAAAUGGUUUUCUUAACUGAACAAGUGACUAGAAUAAAGGAAUUAAUGAACGACAUCAGAGCUGAAAUCCCAAACCAUAAAUCAUAAAAGGAUCAGACAGCAAAGAGAAUGUGAAGAAAUGGAAUGGGCUCCAAUCAUUUAAAGGAUGAAAAAACUUUUUGAAAUACUAUUUCACAUCAAACUUUGAUUUAUAGCUACUAAAUAUUUAACCUUUU